rnacentral:rRNA from 1 species
AUCAUAUGACUCUGAACACAUCCAAUCUUGUUCGAUUUCAGAAGCUAAGCAGGGUCAGGCUUGGAUAGCAUUUACUAGGAGAGCAUCAGGUAGCACCAGGGAU